GAUUAGCUUGGUUGGUUAGAUAUUGGUACUGCUAAUGCCAAGGUCACAGGUUUGAUUCCUGUCUGGGUGCA